GGAAUAUUGGACAAUGGGCGCAAGCCUGAUCCAGCCAUGCCGCGUGAGUGAUGAAGGCCUUAGGGUUGUAAAGCUCUUUCGCCAGGGACGAUAAUGACGGUACCUGGAUAAGAAGCCCCGGCUAACUUCGUGCCAGCAGCCGCGGUAAUACGAAGGGGGCUAGCGUUGUUCGGAAUUACUGGGCGUAAAGCGUAUGCAGGCGGACUCUUAAGUCGGGGGUGAAAUCCCGAGGCUCAACCUCGGAACUGCCUUCGAUACUGGGAGUCUUGAGUCCGGGAGAGGUGAGUGGAACUCCGAGUGUAGAGGUGAAAUUCGUAGAUAUUCGGAAGAACACCAGUGGCGAAGGCGGCUCACUGGCCCGGUACUGACGCUGAGAUACGAAAGCGUGGGGAGCAAA
rnacentral:rRNA from 1 species